rnacentral:rRNA from 1 species
GAUGAACGCUAGCGGCAGGCCUAACACAUGCAAGUCGAGGGGUAGCAGGAUUAAGCUUGCUUAAUUGCUGACGACCGGCGCACGGGUCCGUAACGCGUAUGCAACCUACCUUAUACUGGGGUAUAGCCCGGAGAAAUUCGGAUUAAUCCCCCAUAGUACUAAUGAAUCGCAUGGUUUAUUAGUUAAAGCAUUGCGGUAUAAGAUGGGCAUGCGUCCUAUUAGCUAGAUGGUGAGGUAACGGCUCACCAUGGCUACGAUAGGUAGGGGGCCUGAGAGGGUGGUCCCCCACACUGGUAAUGAGACACGGACCAGACUCCUACGGGAGGCAGCAGUGAGGAAUAUUGGUCAAUGGGCGCAAGCCUGAACCAGCCAUGCCGCGUGCAGGAAGAAUGCCCUAUGGGUUGUAAACUGCUUUUAUUUGGGAAUAAACCUCUUUACGUGUAGAGAGCUGAAGGUACCAAAUGAAUAAGCACCGGCUAACUCCGUGCCAGCCGCCGCAGUAA